GACGAACCACCCAAACGUUAUUCGGAAUUACUGGGCUUAAAGGGUGCGUAGGCGGUGCGGAAAGUCAAGUGUGAAAGCCCUCGGCUCAACCGAGGAAUGGCGCUCGAAACUACCGCGCUCGAGGAAGACAGAGGUAAGCGGAACAGCGGGUGGAGCGGUGAAAUGCGUUGAUAUCCGCUGGAACACCGGUGGCGAAAGCGGCUUACUGGGUCUUUUCUGACGCUGAGGCACGAAAGCCAGGGUAGCGAACGGG
rnacentral:rRNA from 2 species